GUCACUUCCACAACAUCAGCCAGUUCCGCUACUGCAGUCACUUCCACAACAUCUACCACAUCUACAGCCAGUUCCACUACUACAGUCACUUCAACAACAUCAGCCAGUUCCACUACUGCAG